ensembl:lncRNA
GCUGUAGAGAAGCGCGGCAAACGAGACCGUCCGAGUCUCGGGACCGAGGUCCCCCCCCCGCUCCUCAGGCGGCACCUCACGCGCACCGCUCGCGCGCCGUAUGUCUUUAAAAGCGCGUGUCUCCCGCGCCGCGCGGUAGGAGGAGUUGCGGUGACGCCGCCGACGCGAACGGCGCUCUUCACCUGCGGCUGAGCGCGAGACGCGUCGGUCGCGAGUCGCGGUCGGGACGCUCGUGCGGCGCACGCAGGCUGGGAGUGAGAGAGAGGCAGCUAGCGGAGCGCAUCCACGCGGAACACGCCGGAGAGGGAGUGGAACACGCCGCGCUCCUCCGUCCUGCCCCGCUUCGGCGCCGUCCGUCCCUUCCGGAUCGCAGACAUGAGGAGCGGGCUCGUGGCCGCGCUGCUCGUGGCCGUGUUGCUCGUGGGCGCAUCUCGGGGUGAUUACGGAAACCCGGCGCCUCAACUGCCUCACCGCCUGGGAUUUUCAGAGGGUUUUUACAAGCUGUUUGUCUCGAGGAACGUGCGGCCGGGGCGAGGCCGUCUCAGAGAACAAGAGGCCCUCAGUGCCGGAGGCCCCGCUGUUCUGAACACUACACCCUCCUCUCGGCUCUCAGCUGCAUUCAUCUUUGAGCAUAUUCACCGGCGCAGCAGACGGUUGUCUAGGUCCGCGUGUUUUUUUUUUGUGGGGGGGGAUGUUGAGCGGUACCGUUUGAAGCAAGGGUAUCCAAGGGUCACAUGGGUAAAAAUCAUAGUAAGUGACAUACGGAAUCUGAAGUGUUCAAGGUGGAAAAACAUUACAUUCAGAAUUGUAUUUUGUUUAGGUACAGUGUGUGUCUUAUUGUAUCACCAUGUAAAAUUUGUUUAUGGUACAUACUGUAUACUAUAUAUUAGUAAUUUUGCAGUCGUUCUUGAGUCUGUAAAUUCCUCUUUUCCCCGUCUGUGUGCGUCGGCCAGUUCUCCUUCAUCUCUUCGAUCCGUCCGGCCCCUCCCUGGCACCUCGUCUCUGCUGAUCUCAUCUCCCUCCAUUUUGUCUGCACCCCCCAAACCCCCCCAAACCCCCACAACCCCCCACCACUGGCACACCGCUGAUUCAAACCCAUCCUCCACCGUGGCCAAAGAGGCCUCACCGGGCUCGGGGAAGUUAAAGAAUUGCGCUCUUUCAUCCGGCUCUUGUCACCAGGAGUUCUGCCGUGAUGGAACAUAAUUGGCAUCGUUUCACCGCGGGGAUGGAGUUCGAGGUGGGGGGGCACCGGGCUUCUUGGACGCCCUCCACAGUAACAACUAAAUUGAUUUGAAAAGCUGCAGAGGGGGGCAGAGUACCAACUACUCUGGAACCUGAAAUGUCCUGCUGUGGUGGCAUUGUGUGUGUGUGUGUGUGUGUGUGUGUGUGUGUGUGUGUGUGUCUCUCCCUCAGUUUUCAGUUUUAUGGUUUAUUGGCUUGACAAAUUUUGAUACAGAAAAGCCAUUGUUGAAAAACUCUAUGCACAAAUAUUGCUUUGUAAUAAUGAUGAUGAUAAUAACUAUAAUAUUAAUUGUGCCAGUGUGCCUUCAUUUCUAUGGGAUGUUGAAAAUAUCACCCAUGAACCCCAGUGCUAAAUUGUACUGGGUGGUAAAUCAGUGUAUUUGGCUUGGUGUACACCACCUCACACUAAGUCACAUUGGAGAAAAAUGUCACUUAAGUGCAUGAAUGUGUAAAAGUGUAAGAAUCUGCUGCCCACGUUUCAAGCCUCAGCACAGCAGCCCAGUUGUGCUGCAAGUCUUUCAAAUAAAAAUGGUCAUGACCACCGAAGAGGGUAGCUG